GGGGGGGGGGUACUAAUAUGUUUUGGUUCCCAUGCAGUAAGUAAUUUGUUUGCUUAAAACUUCAGAAGUGUUCAACAAAAAUGUACAUAAAACUACGGAUUAAUACCACACUGUAUACACCUACUGGAGUGAUAUCAUAAGAGGGGGCUUGCUCAUUCAACGCAUUUAAAAACACCAAAACCUACCACAGAAGUGUUGAUAGUUUAAACAUAUACGUGUAAACUUUUUUUUUUUUGAAUUGUGUGUUUAUAUACACUUUGAUGGUAUACAUUCAAUGACUUUUAAAAUUUAGGACUAGAAAAAACCCUUUAAACUCCUCCAGCCAGUAAAUCCCAACACAUUUAGAAUAUAUCACUCUUAUAAAUUUCAAAGCCAACAUAUGUCAAUUUUUUCACACUUUAAUAUCUUAAUUGUGUUUUGGUAAAUGUUUUUUUUUUUUCAAAAUCUAAGAGUGCAUUACUUUAAUGUUUAAAAUACACGUUAAGUAUAUAAAAGUUUAUCGCAAACAUUCAAACCUAAAACUAAAUAUUGAUCGAUACAUCUAUUUCAUAUAUGGCUUUAAUAAAAAUGUUUGAUUUUAUUCAAAUAGAGACAAAUUUAAGGAAACUGAUUUAUUUGGGUUUCGAAAAAUUUCCUGUUCAUGUAUUAGAAAUAUCUUCCUUGGUCACUGACAGUCAAAUGCGCUCUGUGACCCCUUUUAUAUCAACCUAACAAAAUACAUCAUGCAUGUUUAAAUUUCUCAUUAAUUAAAAGCGAAAUUCAUAUUUACUGGAGAGACCCCAACAAAAUUUUAAACAGCUGUUCUGCUUUGUUAGACUGAAUUUGUCAAAUUUAUCAAGUUGUUCAAACAUUUUUUUUUGGUGAUAUGAUAAAUGGCAGAAAGUAUAGAGAUGUAAGUUUUAGUGGUUUAAAUUGUAUUUUUUUGUUAAGAAAAAUCUAAUUUUAUGUUUGACUUUUCUCCUGUACCACUGGAAUGUUAGAAUAUAAAGGUCUUCAAGUUGACAUUCCUGAUUUCUAAAUGUCUUUGUAAACCAGAAAGGUGCUAGCGUGUUCAUUAAGAUAUUUCUGGAUUACGGAUGACAAGAAUUUAUUUCGGUUUUUUAUUUUCUUCUACAAUGGAUUACGUAUAUAUAUGCUUGUUACGACAUUGUACAUGUAUAUGUGAUUGUUAUAUGCUUUGUUUCUUAAUUUUUUUGACUUUGAGCUUAUUAGUGCCUGCACACAGGAUUUUGCUGUGGUGAAAAAUUGUUUUGUACAGUUAUAUAUCUAUAUACAUGCAUAAUGAAUUCAUGCAUACAUAAACCAGAUCUUCUCUCUCGUAC
rnacentral:sRNA from 1 species